rfam:Loxodonta africana unplaced genomic scaffold scaffold_5, whole genome shotgun sequence.
GCAUUGGUGGUUCAGUGGUAGAAUUCUCACCUCCUAUGUGGGAGACCUGGGUUCAAAUCCUGCCCAGUGCA